rnacentral:rRNA from 1 species
UCGAGAAUCAUUCGCAAUGGGCGAAAGCCUGACGAUGCGACGCCGUGUGAGCGAAGAAGGCCUUAGGGUUGUAAAGCUCUUUCGCUUGGGAACAAGAAAGGUUGGCUAAUAUCCAACCAAUUUGAGCGUACCAGGUAAAGAAGCACCGGCUAACUCCGUGCCAGCAGCUGCGGUAAUACGGAGGGUGCAAGCAUUAAUCGGAUUUAUUGGGCGUAAAGGGCGCGUAGGCGGGAUGAAAAGUCAGAUGUGAAAUCCCGGGGCUCAACCUCGGAACAGCAUUUGAAACUCUCAUUCUUGAGGGUAGGCGGAGAAAACGGAAUUCCACAAGUAGCGGUGAAAUGCGUAGAUAUGUGGAAGAACACCGGUGGCGAAGGCGGUUUUCUAGCUUAUUCCUGACGCU